GUGUGUGUGUGUGUGUGUGUACAUGCAUGCUUGCAUACUUGUGUUUACUAGGCCAUCCUCUCACCCUCUCAGCUUGAGAGUGUGUGUGCACAUACUCACAUACACAUAGAAGGAAAACAAACCUCAGAGACGCUGGGCUCUGUAAAUGAGGAUUUUAGUGAUCCCCAGUUAAUUCCAUCCAUUUCCACUUAAAGGAGCUGGGUGACCCUAGUGAUUUGCUGAACCUCUUGAGCCAUAUUUCUCUCAUUUGUCAAUUGAGGAUAUGACUGUCUGACUGGGUUGUUACAAAGAUUAAAAGCAGUUACAUGUGGGAUAGCUGUACCCUAACCCCUAGAUUUCUGAAGCCCCACAAAAACAGAGAUUGCAUUGUUUGUCAGGAAAUUAGCCUUUCUCUAAUUACAUCAGAUGUGCCCCAGCUAGCUUUCACUGAGGAAGUACUGUAGUUCCCAUUGUAAAGAUGAAGGAACUUCUCAAGAGUUACCCAACCAGUGAUUGGCCAAAUGAAAUCCCAGAAAAGGGAUCAGGCAGCUGGCCCCUUGCAUUUUCUUAUGCAAGAACUUGGUAAUUUUCCUUUUUGGUGUAUGACUCCACUUUCCAAUAUCUCCUUCUUAUGCACAAUAUAGCAAACCAGAGCCUUGCCCAGAGGGAAAAGAACACUGGAAACACAGGUUCUUGCAGACAUAAUUACAGUCGUUCUGUCACAGACAUCGUCUUUUUCAUUCUCCAGCAGCCCUAUUUGGCUCCUGUUUAUAAAUUCUCAUCUCUGCUGCCCACACCCUCCUCCAUCUUUCCUAACCUACAGACUGGAGUUCCACAGCCUUCCACCAUCCAUAUCUGGUGACAAUGCCGUCAGGGUCAAUCACUAUUCUUCUCUCCCUGUCUUCUGUGGGUCUCCCCCUUCUUGACUCCACAGCUUACUGGCAUCUCUAGAACCCCACCUGCAUCUCUCUGACUCUGGGAGAGAGCCAGAAUCUACCUGGGACCCUUUCCCUGCGCUGUGCUAAAAUGCGUAGCUGGCUCGAGUGACUCCCUCCCUCUCUCAGGACCACAGCACGAUGUCGGGAGCAUCUGAUAUCUGAAAACUACAGCCCACCUGUGUUGUGCACAGGUUGUUAAUUGUGUUGGGUGGGAGAGUAAACAUAGACCCUGUAACAAUGUCUUCCCUUAAGCAGAUCCACUAAACUAUGGGUACUUUAAGGCUGAGGAUCCUGAUGCUGGAAGACAGCAAGCAACUUGCCCUAGGCCACUCCCUGAUACCUGAGAGCUGGGUUUUUAACUAGCCUCACUUUGUCUCCAGAAUAUCAGCAGUUAGCAUCCAUCCUCUUGCCUUCCUGAGAGCCCAGUCUUCAGUUCUACAUCUCUUCAAAAGAGCACCACCUUUCUGAGGGUGCUGUGUCCCUUGUGGUUGAACUGUCCAGAGCCUUUUGUAGCCGAAACCAACUCAUCUGAGAACUGCUCCAGAGAGCUGAUGUGGAUGGAUUCUUCACAAGUGAUCCGCUAGUGGUCUGUCAUGACAGUCACAAGGUGACUGUAGAUGUUAAAUGGCACCCAUGUAGGAGUAUCAUAAACACACUUGUUAACUCAUUCCUUCAACAAACGUUGAGAGCCCUAUGCAUGCCAGGCACUGUUACACUGUUCAUGCUAUAACAUCGAUCAAGAUGCAUGUGGAGUCCGCAGUCUAGCACAAGGGAGAAGUAAACAAAUAACUUAUACAAGAGCCUUGAAGAUGAAGCAGAGUGCCAAGCUAAACACAGCACCUGUGGGCAACAACAUAUGCUGAGUUCUUAGACUUGGCCUAAUAUCUUCUUUCUCACAUCAUUCCUAGGCUCAUUAAGAGCUUUAUAGAACAGUGUACCAAUAUGGUGAGAGGCCUGGUGCCCAUGCUACGGCUCGGGGGAUCUGAAGUGCUAAGGACCAACGACAAGACGUCACAUUUGCAAUGUAAGGGAAAGAGCAUCCCAGGCACAGUGGGCAGAUGUAGAAUCCCUGCCUGGUGCCAUCUCCCCCCUGAGCUUCUUGUUCUAAUGUGCAUGGGUGUGUACAUGCAUGUGUACAUGUAUGUGUGCAUGCACAUGCACAUCCGAAGACCUAGAAAUCUCUCUCAUUCCUGCCCAUCCAGGAGCCCCGGGCAUUGUUUUAUAGGAACUCCAGUGGAUGACAAGGACCAGGGUCUUCAAAGUCUCUGAGCCUUGAGUCUCCUCUGCUCUCCUAAGGUCAGUAUGAAGAUUAAAUAAAAUGUGAAACUGUCUUUGAACACACUUUGGCCCGUGCAGUGUAGGAACAGAAGUGACUUAUUAUCUAGCAGUACUAAAAAAAAAAGAGAGAGAGAGAGAGAGAGAUUUCUUUUAAGAAAAGCCCAGGUAAGGCACAGGAUUACUACAUUGAGAGUGUUGUUUUUGUUGUUGUCGUUGUUGUUUUGUUGUUUCUUAUAAUUACAGAGAAAACCUGCUUCCAUUUUAGCAAAGAAUGAAUUCAUCACUCUACCUACGGUCUUGUUCCAACAGGUCAGAGGCUUCCAGAGUAACAAAAAUGUCAAGACAUUAAGUCCGGAUGUAAAUGACCUGACUCCCUCUCAGGCUUGCUGAGUGAACCUGAGCAGGUUCAAACCGCUUUGAAGAAGAGCCCCUGGCUUAUUGGGUUUCUGACUGCGGGUACCGGGGCUAGCCAAGACUCUCCCCCAAGUCCUUAACAAGUGAGCUCAUCGCUUGUGUGUAGAGGGAACUAUCUUUUGUCUGGACAAAUCCUUCCACUCCCACAUCUCCAAAUGGACUUCUAAAAAUACCCAUUCACGUGUCUCCUCUAAGCAGGAGGCCUUCCGCUCCUCUUCCACCCUCAUUCAAUCUGAAUGGCUAGUCAGAUGACCGAUGAACCACCGACAGAGGCCAUGUAAAACAACCAACAGGUUCCCAGCCUGGAGCAAUUUCCCUGCAGCUGCUGAGUCAAAGCCCAGCAGGCAAGGCUGAUCCCUGUGGGUGUGGCCACCUCACACAGGCCAGCCCAGCAGCCUGGCACUGUUUGCUGACAGGCCCUAAGCAAUGGAACAGCAGAAGCCAAGUGGGAACUUGUGUUUGGACUGCCAGUGUCCAUGGCAACAGAAAGAAUCCAAGGGGACUGACCUUUGAGGCCAUUUUACAGAUGAGCAUACUGAGGAUGCAACAUGGGCAAUGCGCUCACCUGUGGCCUGAUGGAAGCCUGAGAUUUCAACUCUGAAGCCCUCUUUGCUCCGAAGUUGCUAAGACAACACCAUGGCUUAGCAGUUAAGCUAGGCUCCCUCCCAAAGCCUCACCCACACCCCCAUCCAGAGAGGAUUUCUGUCUAGCACCAGUGGAAAACAUGGAGGUUCCCUUCACUCCAGGACCUUCUUGUGAAACCUAAGAUCUUUUUUCUCUGUGUCUGAGCCUGGACAGUCCAUCUACCUGGAGAAGAAGACAGAUAAAUCCAGCCAGUGCCUACAGUUUUCUUCCACUCCCUGUCCCUGUCUUCUAAUACUUACCAAAAUAAAAGCUUGCCUUUGACCACCGUACGCAUUGAAAACGUUCACCUCA
rnacentral:sRNA from 1 species